GGUUCAGUGGUAAAGAACAUCCGUCUGCUAACGCAGGAGUCAGAAAAGACCAGGGUUUGAUCCCUGGGUUGGAAAGAUCCUUUGGAGGAGGAAAUUGCAACCCACUCCAGUAUUCUUGCCUGGAACAUCCCAUGAACAUAGGAGCCUGGCGGGCUACAGUCCAUGGGGUCACAAAGACUGGGACACAAAUGAGCCACUGUGAACGUGCACACCACAAUUAGUGAAGCUGAGUGUCUCUCCACGGAGUUUUUGUUUCUUACCUUCAGAGUCACUUGGCUUCUCGGCCCUGCUGGUCCGGCGGCGAGGACUCCCGGUUCUCAUCCAGCCCCCCAGGUCCAGUUCCUGACAGGGAACCACGACUGUCUUCAGGACCGCUCACUGCUCUCUCUCUCCAAGAUCAUGGUCAUCAUUUUCGUCACCGAGGCUGGAAAAGGAUCUGUUCUGAGGACUGGCUGGAAUCUCUGCAUCACCAUCAUCUUGAUGUGAAACUGCAGUAAUCUGAAAGAGACAAAUUUAACAAGGUCAGAAUUCUGGGGGAAAAAAAAGAUUUCAACAAGCCAGCUUUUGCUAACUGCACAUUGGAAAGGAACUGGUUUUGCUAUUUCAAAAAAAAAGUUUCAUUUUCGCCCAUUUUCUCUGGAGUCUAAAGAAUAUCAUGGCCAUCCAGUGUCAAAAAGUGUCACCUCUCCUGGCUGUGGUCAUCGCUUCGCAGCUAACAUGCAGCCCAGACAGUGCUCAGAUUGGCCCCAACAGGAGGAGCAGACCGGCUGAUAAGGUGCUGUUCCC